GACGAACGCUGGCGGCGUGCUUAACACAUGCAAGUCGAACGGAAAGGCCCAGCUUGCUGGGUGCUCGAGUGGCGAACGGGUGAGUAACACGUGGGUGAUCUGCCCCUAACUUCGGGAUAAGCUUGGGAAACUGGGUCUAAUACCGGAUAGGACAAUCGUUUAGUGUCGGUUGUGGAAAGUUUUUUCGGUUAGGGAUGAGCCGGCGGCCUAUCAGCUUGUUGGUUGGGUAAUGGCAUACCAAGGCGUCGACGGAUAGCCGGCCUGAGAGGGUGGACGGCCAGACAGGGUGGGAAUGAGGCCCGGGCCAGCCACGGACGGGAGGAAGGGGGAGGGAAUAUUAGAGGGGGGGAGCCAGCUUGAGCGAGCCAUGGUGGGGGAGUGCGGCCUUCGUUUGGGAAACCUCUUUCGUCUGGGAGGGAUGUUAGUGACAGUACCGGGAGAAUAAGCCCCGGCUAACUCCGUG
rnacentral:rRNA from 1 species